AACGAACGCUGGCGGCAUGCCUAACACAUGCAAGUCGAACGAGACCUUCGGGUCUAGUGGCGCACGGGUGCGUAACGCGUGGGAACCUGCCCUUAGGUUCGGAAUAACUCUCCGAAAGGGGUGCUAAUACCGGAUAAUGUCUUCGGACCAAAGAUUUAUCGCCUUUGGAUGGGCCCGCGUUGGAUUAGCUAGUUGGUAGGGUAAAAGCCUACCAAGGCGACGAUCCAUAGCUGGUCUGAGAGGAUGAUCAGCCACACUGGGACUGAGACACGGCGCAGACUCCUACGGGAGGCAGGAGUGGGGGAUAUUGGAAAAUGGGCGAAAGCCUGAUCCAGCAAGGCCGGGUGAGUGAUGAAGGCCUUAGGGUUGUAAAGCUCUUUUACCCGGGAUGAUAAUGACAGUACCGGGAGAAUAAGCACCGGCUAACUCCGUG
rnacentral:rRNA from 1 species